GGUGAACGCUGGCGGUAGGCCUAACACAUGCAAGUCGAACGGCAGCACAGAGGAGCUUGCUCCUUGGGUGGCGAGUGGCGGACGGGUGAGGAAUACAUCGGAAUCUACUCUGUCGUGGGGGAUAACGUAGGGAAACUUACGCUAAUACCGCAUACGACCUACGGGUGAAAGCAGGGGAUCUUCGGACCUUGCGCGAUUGAAUGAGCCGAUGUCGGAUUAGCUAGUUGGCGGGGUAAAGGCCCACCAAGGCGACGAUCCGUAGCCGGUCUGAGAGGAUGAUCAGCCACACUGGAACUGGGACACGGUCCAGACUCCUACGGGAGGCAGCAGUGGGGAAUAUUGGACAAUGGGCGCAAGCCUGAUCCAGCCAUACCGCGUGGGUGAAGAAGGCCUUCGGGUUGUAAAGCCCUUUUGUUGGGAAAGAAAUCCAUCUGGUUAAUACCCGGGUGGGAUGACGGUACCCAAAGAAUAAGCACCGGCUAACUUCGUGCCAGCCGCCGCCGUAA
rnacentral:rRNA from 1 species